UCCCUUUCAAAAGUCCACAAAAUGAACAUUCCACAGGUAUAUCGGGGUAUUUUAUGGAUAUUAUGGGUGAUUUUGCAAGUAUGCUUCAGUGACCUAUAUAGCUCAGUGUGCAAGCAGUUUCAAAAUGGCGGUUGCUUUGAUUGUUUUUGAGUGGGCAUAUAAUAUUUUUUGUACUGUGUUUGUACUGUUGUUCUGUGUUUUUCAUGUUGUGUUGUGCUCUACACUUCCUCUUCGAUCAUGAAUUAACGUAUUUUUGUUGGUGCAACAACAACGAAAGAACGAACCAGGUUGAAUUUAUAGGACUAUUGAGUAUUGGGUCACCAAGACCGUUGAAAGCUUUAUUAAAAUUG